GAUCGGGUGGCGUGCUAAAUACAAAACCGCAAGGAAACUAAGCAGGCUGACUUUGAGCAGUGUUGAAGCACCCGAUCGCCCUCAA
rnacentral:ncRNA from 1 species